UACAAUAUGCAUGUUCUCUCUCACUCUUUUAUUUUGCCAUUUAGUUCCUCCUAUUUCAAGCCACCAACAUCCGUACGUCUUCAAGCAGCUAAUUUCAUCAUAUUUGUCUCUUAUUUAAAAGGGUUUUGUCAAUCGGCCAAUGAAAAUGGUAGCUACGAAAGGUAUUUGAAGAAACUUCUUGUGAUUGACAAUGCAAGAUAUUAUUAUUAUUAUUUUUUAUAUUAAGAAUACGUGCAAGCCUAGCUUAUGUAUUUGAAAAUGUGUGUAAACUAAAUGGGAAUAUAGAAAGAAAACAUCAGGAAACUAACUAAUUCAUCUUUAUUGACAGAUCCCACUUAGGACAAACGAAGGCCAUUAUAAUUUUUUUCCCUGGUUUUUGUCAUUUGCAUUGACUUUAUUCAUGUCAGGUGACUUAUUUCGUGUGAGUGAAGGAGAAGAUGAAGAAAGAAUCAUGUAAAAUACUUUGAGAAUCCCUAUAAUUAAUACUCG
rnacentral:lncRNA from 1 species